AAUAUUUUAUUUUUAUUUUAUAAAUGAUAAAUUAAUUUAUUAAUGUAUAAUAAUAUUUCAAACUAAUUUCGAAAUUAAUAUAAAUAUUUAAAUAUAAUUUCGAAAAUGAAAAUCUUGUAAAAAUAUUUUAAAACAGAUUUGUUAAAAUUUUAAAUUAAAAUGAAAAGAUAUCAAAAGAUAUUAUGAUUAAAUUAUUUUAAAAAUUUUAUGUAUUAUUAGUGUUAAUAAAAUACAUUUAAUAAAAUUUCUAAGUAAUGGUCCAAAUUAAAAAAA
rnacentral:lncRNA from 1 species